CAGUAGCCGCGGUAAUACGAAGGGGGCUAGCGUUGUUCGGAUUUACUGGGCGUAAAGCGCACGUAGGCGGACUUUUAAGUCAGGGGUGAAAUCCCGGGGCUCAACCCCGGAACUGCCUUUGAUACUGGAAGUCUUGAGUAUGGUAGAGGUGAGUGGAAUUCCGAGUGUAGAGGUGAAAUUCGUAGAUAUUCGGAGGAACACCAGUGGCGAAGGCGGCUCACUGGACCAUUACUGACGCUGAGGUGCGAAAGCGUGGGGAGCAAACAGGAUUAGAUACCCGAGUAGUCCCUGUCUCUUAUAC
rnacentral:rRNA from 1 species